GGCUACUGAGUGUAGGCUUUGCCUGCUAUCUCUUACCCAUGUCUUUUGAGUACCUUCGUUUCCUCGGCGGGUCCGCCCGCCGAUUGGACAAUUUAAACCAUUUGCAGUUGCAAUCAGCGUCUGAAAAAACUUAAUAGUUACAACUUUCAACAACGGAUCUCUUGGUUCUGGCAUCGAUGAAGAACGCAGCGAAAUGCGAUAAGUAGUGUGAAUUGCAGAAUUCAGUGAAUCAUCGAAUCUUUGAACGCACAUUGCGCCCCUUGGUAUUCCAUGGGGCAUGCCUGUUCGAGCGUCAUUUGUACCUUCAAGCUCUGCUUGGUGUUGGGUGUUUGUCUCGCCUCUGCGCGUAGACUCGCCUCAAAACAAUUGGCAGCCGGCGUAUUGAUUUCGGAGCGCAGUACAUCUCGCGCUUUGCACUCAUAACGACGACGUCCAAAAGUACAUUUUUACACUCUUGACCUCGGAUCAGGUAGGGAUACCCGCUGAACUUAAGCAUAUCAUAGCCCG
rnacentral:rRNA from 1 species